UACAGAGGGUGCAAGCGUUAAUCGGAGUUACUGGGCGUAAAGGGCGCGUAGGCGGUUAUGUAAGUUGGAUGUGAAAUCCCUGGGCUUAACCUAGGAACUGCAUCUAAGACUGCAUGGCUAGAGUAUUGUAGAGGGUAGUGGAAUUUCCGGUGUAGCGGUGAAAUGCGUAGAGAUCGGAAGGAACACCAGUGGCGAAGGCGGCUACCUGGACAAAUACUGACGCUGAGGCGCGAGAGCGUGGGGAGCAAACAGG
rnacentral:rRNA from 1 species